CGCGGCCUAUCAGCUUGUUGGUGAGGUAAUGGCUCACCAAGGCGUCGACGGGUAGCCGGCCUGAGAGGGUGACCGGCCACACUGGGACUGAGACACGGCCCAGACUCCUACGGGAGGCAGCAGUGGGGAAUAUUGCACAAUGGGCGCAAGCCUGAUGCAGCAACGCCGCGUGAGGGACGACGGCCUUCGGGUUGUAAACCUCUUUUAGCAGGGAAGAAGCGAAAGUGACGGUACCUGCAGAAAAAGCGCCGGCUAACUACGUGCCAGCAGCCGCGGUAAUACGUAGGGCGCAAGCGUUAUCCGGAAUUAUUGGGCGUAAAGAGCUCGUAGGCGGUUUGUCGCGUCUGCUGUGAAAUCCGGAGGCUCAACCUCCGGCCUGCAGUGGGUACGGGCAGACUAGAGUGCGGUAGGGGAGAUUGGAAUUCCUGGUGUAGCGGUGGAAUGCGCAGAUAUCAGGAGGAACACCGAUGGCGAAGGCAGAUCUCUGGGCCGUAACUGACGCUGAGGAGCGAAAAGGUGGGGAGCAAACAGGCUUAGAUACCCUGGUAGUCCACCCCGUAAACGUUGGGAACUAGUUGUGGGGUCCAUUCCACGGAUUCCGUGACGCAGCUAACGCAUUAAGUUCCCCGCCUGGGGAGUACGG
rnacentral:rRNA from 1 species